GGGGCCUCGUGCGCGCUGGGGCGGCCGGGUGGCGCUCCUGUGGGGCUGUGAGUUUGUGGGUACCUGCUGCUCCGUGGUCAGGGGAUUAGUUAGUUCUGUGUCUGCUGUCCUUUGUCUUGCGUGGAUUUAUCCUCUCCCGCACAGAAAACAAUCCUUUAAUUACUCCGGUGUUUGCUUAUGUUUAACUUCUUGGAUUUUUCGAUGCAGAAGAGAAUAAAAUAAUACGCCUGUUCCCUUGUCUCAGAAUUGGCAAAUACUAACUCACUCUCUUACGAAGUUGGCAACAUUCCUUGUCACAUUCUUCUGUGGUCAGCUUCACGUAAACCUUUGUGUGUAUUAUAAUAGAAUUCGGUAUUAAUAAAUAUUCUUUAAAAGCAAUUCUCGUGAUUUUUCUUACGGUCGAAGAUAGGAAAAAGCAUGGAAAAGGGCUACCGUGUAGUACAUUUCUUUUUUAUGUAAUUAUGAUAUUUAUGUAGUCUAUAGUUCUCAAAUUUCAAGAAAUUAUUAAUACCGCAUGGAUAAUAGCUUUUAUUGUAGCCUUUAUCCUAGCCACUAGACCACCAGGGAGCUGUUAUUGUAGGCUUUAAAUUGUGUAUUUAUCUGCCUCGCAAACAAAGCUUACAGAUGACCCCAUGUCACGAAUGCCUUCCAUCAAUGUGGUAGCAGGACCCCAUGGGUUCCCUGCCACUUAGUAGCUGAUUGACUUUUGUGGCUGAAAGGUGUCUUACUAAUAACCUAACAGAGGAAAUUAAACUAUCAAACAGAAAGUAAGAGUUAUAAAUUCACAACACAACUACUCUUUGUUUAAUUAAAACACGCGUGCCUAACUUGUUAUCUCUGAGUUCUUUCUCAGCCUUGAAAAAUUCCUGAGUGGACAGUAGGAGCACAAACUUGCCUUGCUUCCUCAAGAAGAGACAGUACCAGGUGCCUCCUACUACCAAGAAGAAAGAAGAAACUGAUUUCUACUGUCAGUUUAUUAGGAAAGAGCAACUAGAGAGAAUGAAGAGGACAUUGGUGUUGAGACAAUGGGCCAAGAUCGCAGACACACGCCAUGGCACGCCCGAGAGACAGGAGAGGGAAAGAUGCCCACACUCGUGCUCGCAGCGACCGUACCAAGUUUGCUCCUCCAGUGUUGCUGGAGACAGGCGACUGCUCAGAAGAGGCAACAUGGGGCACCCCCCGCCCCACUCCUUUCCUUCCUUCACUCACCCACGUGCGCAACAGGCAUUUUCUGGCACCUCCCAUGGACUGACACUGAGCCAGGUGGUGCUCACACGACAGCAGGCAGGUCAGCCCCGUGCGGCCUACAGGCCAGUGGGGAGAGAGACACCGGGGCAAGCACCCCCCAUCCCGAGUCCCACCCAUCCAGGACAUGGAGGGCAUCACAGAGGGCACUAGACCUCCUUCCAGAAUUCUGAACAAGCAAGUCCAGGUGGGUGGCAGAUCCCCACCCCGUGGGCCAUUCCAGAAGGUGACCCAUUGGUCAGUAACUGAGAUCUGUGCCCACGGGGGGCCCUGCUGGUAGCUGUGGGAUGAAUGAAUGAAGGAAUCGAAGACUCGAUGCCCCAAGGCCACGCGUUCCUUCCUCAGCCUCAGAGGCAGCGGGGCUUGGAAAGGGCUGUCGGACGUUGGACACACAGGCUGCCGGGAGGGUAGAAGCAGCUUCCUCAGAGCUCGGGUCUGCAGGGUUUCACGUCCCUGCUGGGAUGGAGUCUCUUGUUGCGGGGCCCUGUGAGGGCUGACAGCAGCCACUCUGUGCGCCAGCCAGGGAGUUGUGUCCCUGGGGACCCGGGGUGCAGAGAGCUUCCUUCACGCGGGUGUCCUUGGGUCCUAGGGAGGUGUAGGCAUUCAGCAAAAGCUUGGGGUAAAUGCCGGUGUGUUUUCCCUAGCCAAUGCUCCCCAGGACCCAGAACCCACACUGGCUCCCCUGUCAUCGGCCUCGCGGCUCCUCUGUCUUGGUAGCGACAAAGCUCCGCUGUCGCUCCAGCCCAGCCCUAAGGCUUCACACUGCUGCCCCAGUGCUCCCAUCUCUCCUCCGAGAGCACCUCAGUUUCCCUCACUUGAAGGUCAGAGCUGUGCUCUUGACAUUCUGGUGUUCUCGUCCACCAGUGUUAGCAUCUCAUCCUGCUCUGGCCUCCCAGAAGGGCCCAGUGGACAGGUGCCCUGCGUGUGCACACACAGUUGCCUGUGCAGGUGUGGACAUCUGGGUGUGUGAAAAUGAACACACACUCGUAUAUCUACUGACGGAUGGGUUUGGGCGGCUGUCAUAUGCGUGAACACCUGACUAUACUCCAGGCACGGUGCAAACCCUGACAUUCAGGUGCUGUGUGUCCUCCACGAGGGAGAUGCUGGCACCUCCAGGGCACAGGCCAGCAAACAGACUCAGGGGAUGUUACUCAUCGCAGACCUGAAGGCUGGGGACAGGAUCCAGCUCCAGGUCUGCCUGACCCAGAGCACAAUGUGCCAUGAUGACUCUCCACUGCUUUCCUGCAUGCUGGCCACAGCCCGAUGCUCAGGGCACCGCAAGGGCACAACUGGGCCCUGCUUUCAUGGGUCCAGGUACACGGUGGAAGAGACAGACACGAACUACCAACCACCAGUGAGGUGGAGGACCCAUAGGAAACGCAAGAACAGAGAGGAGGGCUCCAGACACAAACAGGGGCCGGGACAUGGGCCUUCCUGUUGCAGGACUUGUCCAGACGGGAGAGGUGGGGCCAGGCAAGGGCAGUGGUGCAGGUAAUGGCCUGGAGCACGAGAGAGCUCAGGGAACAGGAGCUGUGAGCCAGUGCACGGGGUGUUGGGUGCACGCGGCACAGGCUGGAGGGAUUGGAUGGAGCCCUGAGACACUGGAUGGAGGGGCCGGUGGGCACCACGUCCACUGAGGAAGCCCCUCAGUGUGCAGAGUGUGGGGGCUGAGCCCGGGGCUUGGGGCCAUCGGACACUGCAGCAGCUCAGCAGGGAGCCAGUGCAGCCGGGCUAGAGCAGCAGAGAGGAGCAGCAUCCCUGGGAAGGCUGCUCUGCAGAGGACGAGCGCGAGAGAGAAAGGCUUUCCAUUUGUCUGAGGACGCUGAAGGCAAGAUGGGAGAGGGCUGGCAGGGAAGAGUGGCCUCUGUGCCUAGAACAGGGCCCUGGAAGUAGACUGGGCAUGGCAGACCUUCCCUCGCUUUCUGUCUGUCUGUCUCCGUGUGUGUCUCCCUCUGUGUCUCUGUCUCUUUCUUGUGUAGUAGCCACUUCUUAUCCCUCAUCUACAAACCCCAUGGCUAUCCAGGGGUUCUUCGCCACGCUGCAGUUGUGCUCGAUUUAAGACAAUAAUCUGUUUCUCAAGUUUCUUUGCAGUGAAGCCACCAUGACCUUUGUGAAGACAAAACAUAUUCUUUUUUUCCAAGUGUGACUCAAAGGAAGCAAGGUUCAUGCACAAGGCAGUUCUAAAAGUGGACGGGUAAUUGCUGGCUCUGUUUCCUGUAACGAUUUUGUAAGAUCACACCAAACUCUCUCCCUCAUAGAAAACAGCUACAAAAUCUGUACACAAUGCAGAAAAAGAGCUGCUUGCAGGCAUUGGUGGGAACAGCAACAGUGGAUUAUGGGGCACACACCUUGGAGAAGGGAGUUGCUUGAAGUGAGUUCUUUUGUGUGUGUGUGUGUGGCUGUUAGCCUGGGGCCACGUGCAUCAGGGCAGUACGUGAGGAGGUAGGGUCCUCUGGGGCAGUGGUCUCCAAACUUUUGGCACCAGGGACCAUUUUCAUGGAAGACAAUUUUUCCAAUUUAUUGUGCUUUUUAUUUCUAUUAUUGUUACAUUGUAAUAUAUGAUGAAAUAAUUACACAACUCACCAUAGGUUGGGGACCCUGCUCUGGGGAAAACCACAGCCUUCGUGGCCUGCAGAACCAGCAAGAGGAAACAGGAAGCUGCAGCCACAGAAGAGUGAGGGGAUGUCUGGAAGGGAGAGCAUUGCAAAGGGGACCCUCCAAACCUGUGUGCCCAUCUUUCUGGCUGACCCUGAACCACACACAGAGCAGAUGCAAGCAGCCCAGUUCCCAGUGAAAGGCAGAAGGUCUGAAUUCAGGCUGCAGCUGCCACCAGGAACCAAGGGUUCAGUUCAUGCCCAGAGAAGACUGCUGCCCCAUAAACCCAAAGAAACACCCGUCAUUGGUGGGAAAUGACAGAAUCUAGAAUGUCCACAACAGUAAAUCUUAAUGUCUGGGACCAAUUCGAAAUUAUUCAACAUGUAACGCUCUCUCUUGCUGCGAUCCUCUCUCCUCUGGGGGUCUUCCACAUCCGCUCUAGUUGCCUCCGCCUCCUGGGACCCCAGUGCCACCUCUUUGACUCAAGGAGACCACGGCAGGCACCUGGGGUCGCCUUCCCUGUGUGGGAGCCCGAACUCUCUCCCAGAAGGAGGCCAUCGUAGAGCUCACUCUGUCACUCUCGCUGCUCUCAGAGAUCACUGCACCGUGACGUCCACCAUUUGAAAACUGCUGUUUAAUAUAAGGUAAACUACAGACUGGCAGAAUAAUUUUGCAAAAUAUACAUCCGACAAAGGGCUUGUGCCCAGAAUGUAUAAAGAUCUCUCAUAAAUCAAUAAUUAAAAAAUGUAAUUUAAAAUGAGCAAAGGACUUGAA